rnacentral:rRNA from 1 species
AGUCGAGGGGUAUAAGUAGCUUGCUACUUAGAGACCGGCGCACGGGUGCGUAACGCGUAUGCAAUCUGCCUUUGACAAAGGGAUAGCCCAGAGAAGUUUGGAUUAAUACCUUAUAGUAUAUUGAUGUGGCAUCACAUUAUUAUUAAAGAUUUAUCGGUCAAAGAUGAGCAUGCGUCCCAUUAGCUAGUUGGUAAGGUAACGGCUUACCAAGGCAACGAUGGGUAGGGGUCCUGAGAGGGAGAUCCCCCACACUGGUACUGAGACACGGACCAGACUCCUACGGGAGGCAGCAGUGAGGAAUAUUGGACAAUGGGCGCAAGCCUGAUCCAGCCAUGCCGCGUGCAGGAUGAAGCAUCUAUGGUGUGUAAACUGCUUUUGUACGGGAAGAAACCCCGCCACGUGUGGCGGACUGACGGUACCGUAAGAAUAAGGAUCGGCUAACUCCGUGCCAGCAGCCGCGGUAAUACGGAGGAUCCAAGCGUUAUCCGGAAUCAUUGGGUUUAAA